rnacentral:rRNA from 1 species
GACGAACGCUGGCGGCGUGCCUAAUACAUGCAAGUAGAACGCUGAAGGAGGAGCUUGCUUCUCUGGAUGAGUUGCGAACAGGUGAGUAACGCGUAGGUAACCUGCCUGGUAGCGGGGGAUAACUAUUGGAAACGAUAGCUAAUACCGCAUAAGAGUAGAUGUUGCAUGACAUUUGCUUAAAAGGUGCAAUUGCAUCACUACCAGAUGGACCUGCGUUGUAUUAGCUAGUUGGUGGGGUAACGGCUCACCAAGGCGACGAUACAUAGCCGACCUGAGAGGGUGAUCGGCCACACUGGGACUGAGACACGGCCCAGACUCCUACGGGAGGCAGCAGUAGGGAAUCUUCGGCAAUGGACGGAAGUCUGACCGAGCAACGCCGCGUGAGUGAAGAAGGUUUUCGGAUCGUAAAGCUCUGUUGUAAGAGAAGAACGAGUGUGAGAGUGGAAAGUUCACACUGUGAUGGUAUCUUACCAGAAAGGGACGGCUAACUACGUG